rnacentral:rRNA from 1 species
GCACAGAGUUAGCCGUCCCUUCCUCUUUCGCUACUAUCAGCCCAACAUCUUUUAAAUAUUGAGGUUUGAUCGCAAAUGACAGGGGUUUACGGGCCGAAGCCAUUCAUCCCCCACGCGGCGUCGCUCCAUCAGGGUUUCCCCCAUUGUGAAAAAUUCUCGACUGCUGCCACCCGUAGGUGUCUGGACCGUGUCUCAGUUCCAGUGUGGCUGGUCGUCCUCUCAGACCAGCUACCCGUCUUAGGCUUGGUGGGCCGUUACCCCGCCAACUACCUGAUAGGCCGCGGGCUCAUCGUAAAGCGUCAGGCCCUUGCGGGUCCCCAACUUUGACAACCAGGAGAUGCCCCCCAACUGUCACAUCCGGUAUUAGUUCCGCUUUCGCGGAAUUAUCCCAAACUUCACGGCAGAUUGCCCACGUGUUACGCACCCUUGCGCCGCUCUCACUAGCCGAUAUUGCUACCAACUAGUAAUCGCUCGACUUGCAUGUCUUAUCCACGCCGCCAGCGUUCGUU